UACGUAGGGCGCAAGCGUUAUCCGGAAUUAUUGGGCGUAAAGAGCUCGUAGGCGGUUUGUCGCGUCUGCCGUGAAAGUCCGGGGCUCAACUCCGGAUCUGCGGUGGGUACGGGCAGACUAGAGUGAUGUAGGGGAGACUGGAAUUCCUGGUGUAGCGGUGAAAUGCGCAGAUAUCAGGAGGAACACCGGUGGCGAAGGCGGGUCUCUGGGCCGUAACUGACGCUGAGGAGCGAAGGCCAGGGGAGCAAACGGG
rnacentral:rRNA from 1 species